GGUACAAGGUGCAGUGAAGCGAGAGGCCAAAGGCGGGGAGGAGUUCGUCAAAAUGAUUUAAAUUGCUGUGUUUGGACGGUGGCGUGCCAGCUUUUUCUUUGUUUUUCAUUGUCACCAACAAAAGGCGCUUCUUGAGACCUCACAAGCGCCAACUAUGGCAGGAGCGGAAGCAGUUUGGAAACUGUGUCUCUUUUGAUUCAGGAAUUUAAGAUCCAAAACAGUCGACCUUUAAAAAGGGGGAAAAGAGUGGAGGUGGGAUAGGAGCAUCGAAAGAAACCAGUAGAGAAGAGCAGGGGUUGAUGAGAGAAGGUCAGCCUGAAUUGCCAGUAACCAUCUUGCCACUAUAUGGAGAGAGUUUGACAGAGCAACGAAAGAGCCAAGAAAUGAAUCCUGAGGCCAUUCCUUGAGCCCUGGAGCUAGAAAUACCCAAAGCCAUU